UGGACCGUUUCAGAUUAAAUGUAUGAUAUUAGAUAAAUGCACUGCUAUGUUAAAAAAAUAAGAUGUUAAAAAACCUUGUGGUAUUUAUAACUGGAGGUGCGUCUGGCCUCGGAAAAGCCACAGCGGAUUAUUUGUUAUCUAAGGGAGCUAGAGUUGUUGUGUUUGAUAUAAAUGCUCCUGGCGACAACGACUUGUCACCUAAAAAUGACAACCCCAUCGGCGAAGUGUUCUCACCUCAUGUGACCAACAGUAACUGUUUGUUCUUUAAAGGCAAUGUUUUAUCAACUAAUGAUGUGGAAACCGCGAUUAAUAAAGCAAAGGAAAGAUGGGGAGGGCUGAAUGUGGCUUUGAACUGUGCAGGUGUUUCAAUAUCAUGCAGGUUGUACAACCCAAACAAUGACCACCCUUUGGACUUGCAUGAAAUACAGAAGGUUCUAAACACCCACGUUGUUGGGAACUUUAACGUGAUAAGACUCGCAGCUCAAGCGAUGGCUGAAAACAA